rnacentral:rRNA from 1 species
CCUACGGGCGGCAGCAGUGGGGAAUAUUGGGCAAUGGGCGCAAGCCUGACCCAGCAACGCCGCGUGAAGGAAGAAGGCUUUCGGGAUGUUAACUUCUUUUUAGAGGGAAGUGCAGAAGACGGUACCUCUUGAAUUAGCCAUGGCUAACUACGUGACAGCAGCCGCGGUAGUACGUAGGUGGCAAGCGUUGUCCGGAUUCACUGGGUGUAAAGGGCGUGUAGCCGGGCUGACAAGUCAGAUGUGAAUUUACGGGGCUCAACCCCGGACCUGCAUUUGAAACUGUUGGUUUUGAGUAUCGUAGAGGCAGGCGGAAUGCCUAGUGUAGCGGUGAAAUGCGUAGAUAUUAGGAGGAACACCAGUGGCGAAGGCGGCCUGCUGGACGACAACUGACGGUGAGGCGCGAAAGCGUGGGGAGCAAACAGGAUUAGAUACCCUUGUAGUC